GAUGAAGAACGUAGCGAAAUGCGAUAAGUAAUGUGAAUUGCAGAAUUCAGUGAAUCAUCGAAUCUUUGAACGCACAUUGCGCCCCCUGGUAUUCCGGGGGGCAUGCCUGUCCGAGCGUCAUUACAACCCUCAAGCUCAGCUUGGUGUUGGGCCCCGCCGCCCCGGCGGGCCCUAAAGUCAGUGGCGGUGCCGUCCGGCUCCGAGCGUAGUAAUUCUUCUCGCUCUGGAGGUCCGGUCGUGUGCUCGCCAGCAACCCCCAAUUUUUUUCAGGUUGACCUCGGAUCAGGUAGGGAUACCCGCUGAACUUAAGCAUACAAUAAGCGGAGGA
rnacentral:misc_RNA from 1 species